GACGAACGCUGGCGGCGUGCCUAAUACAUGCAAGUAGAACGCUGAAGGAGGAGCUUGCUUCUCCGGAUGAGUUGCGAACGGGUGAGUAACGCGUAGGUAACCUGCCUGGUAGCGGGGUAUAACUAUUGGAAACGAUAGCUAAUACCGCAUAAGAGUAGAUGUCGCAUGACAUUUGCUUAAAAGGUGCAACUGCACCACUACCAGAUGGACCUGCGUUGUAUUAGCUAGUUGGUGAGGUAACGGCUCACCAAGGCAACGAUACAUAGCCGACCUGAGAGGGUGAUCGGCCAAACUGGGACUGAGACACGGCCCAGACGCCUACGGGAGGCAGCAGUAGGGAAUCUUCGGCAAUGGACGGAAGUCUGAACGAGCAACGCCGCGUGAGUGAAGAAGGUUUUCGGAUCGUAAAGCUCUGUUGUAAGAGAAGAACGAGUGUGAGAGUGGAAAGUUCACACUGUGACGGUAUCUUACCAGAAAGGGACGGCUAACUACGUG
rnacentral:rRNA from 1 species